rnacentral:rRNA from 1 species
GACGAACGCUGGCGGCGUGCUUAACACAUGCAAGUCGAACGAAGUGGCGAACGGGUGAGUAAUGCGUAAUCAACCUGCCCUUCAGAGGGGGACAACAGUUGGAAACGACUGCUAAUCCCGCUUACUGAUGGAGGAGAUUGCGUGGGAUUAGCUAGUUGGAGGGGUAACGGCCCACCAAGGCGAUGCUCAGUAGCCGGUCCGGGAGGGUGAACGGCCAAAAUGGGAAUGGGGAAAGGCCCAAGACUCUACGGGAGGGAAGAGUGGGGGAUCUUCGGAAAAGGGCGAAAGGCUGACGGAGCAACGCCGCGGGGGUGAUGGCGGCCUUCGGGUUGGAAAGGUCUGUUAAGCGGGAAGCGGUACCGGAAUAGAAAGCCACGGCUAACUACGUGCCAGCAGCCGCGGUAAUUC